GAACGAACGCUGGCGGCAGGCCUAACACAUGCAAGUCGAACGCCCCGCAAGGGGAGUGGCAGACGGGUGAGUAACGCGUGGGAACCUACCCAGUGGUACGGAACAACCCAGGGAAACUUGGGCUAAUACCGUAUACGCCCCUAGGGGGAAAGAUUUAUCGCCAUUGGACGGGCCCGCGUUGGAUUAGCUAGUUGGUGGGGUAAUGGCCUACCAAGGCAACGAUCCAUAGCUGGUCUGAGAGGAUGAUCAGCCACACUGGGACUGAGACACGGCCCAGACUCCUACGGGAGGCAGCAGUGGGGAAUCUUGGACAAUGGGCGCAAGCCUGAUCCAGCCAUGCCGCGUGAGUGAAGAAGGCCCUAGGGUUGUAAAGCUCUUUCGGCGGGGACGAUAAUGACGGUACCCGCAGAAGAAGCCCCGGCUAACUACGUGCCAGCAGCCGCGGUAACACGUAGGGGACGAGCGUUGUCCGGAUUCAUUGGGCGUAAAGCGCGCGUAGGCGGCUCGGAAAGUCGGGCGUGAAAUGCCGGGGCUCAACCCCGGGACUGCGUCCGAUACUUCCGAGCUGGAGGUAGGUAGGGGAGAUCGGAAUUCCUGGUGUAGCGGUGAAAUGCGCAGAUAUCAGGAGGAACACCGGUGGCGAAGGCGGAUCUCUGGGCCUUACCUGACGCUGAGGCGCGAAAGCUAGGGGAGCAAACAGGAUUAGAUACCCUGGUAGUCCUAGCCGUAAACGUUGGGUGCUAGGUGUGGGCGGACAUCGACCCCGUCCGUGCCGAAGCUAACGCAUUAAGCACCCCGCCUGGGGAGUACGGCCGCAAGGCUAAAACUCAAAGGAAUUGACGGGGGCCCGCACAAGCGGCGGAGCAUGCGGCUUAAUUCGAUGCGACGCGAAGAACCUUACCUGGGCUUGACAUGCAGGGCAAAGCCGGUGAAAGCCGGCGCUCUACGGAGCCUGCACAGGUGGUGCAUGGCUGUCGUCAGCUCGUGCCGUGAGGUGUUGCCUUAAGUGGCGCAACGAGCGCAACCCUUGUCCCUAGUUGCCAGCGGGUAAAGCCGGGAACUCUAGGGAGACUGCCGGUGCCAAACCGGAGGAAGGUGGGGAUGACGUCAAGUCAUCAUGCCCCUUAUGUCCAGGGCUGCACGCAUGCUACAAUGCGCGGUACAAAGGGCUGCGAUCCCGCAAGGGGGAGCGAAUCCCAAAAAGCCGCGCUCAGUUCGGAUCGGGGUCUGCAACCCGACCCCGUGAAGUCGGAGUCGCUAGUAAUCGCAGAUCAGCAAUGCUGCGGUGAAUACGUUCCCGGGCCUGCACUCACCGC
rnacentral:rRNA from 1 species